GACGAACGCUGGCGGCGUGCUUAACACAUGCAAGUCGAACGGAAAGGCCCCUUUGGGGGUCCUCGAGUGGCGAACGGGUGAGUAACACGUGAGUAACCUGCCCUUGACUUCGGGAUAACUUCAGGAAACUGGGGCUAAUACCGGAUAGGAAUCCUUGCUGCAUGGUGGGGGUUGGAAAGCUUCGGCGGUUUUGGAUGGACUCGCGGCUUAUCAGCUUGUUGGUGGGGUAGUGGCUUACCAAGGCUUUGACGGGUAGCCGGCCUGGGAGGGCGACCGGCCACAUUGGGACUGAGAUACGGCCCAGACUCCUACGGGAGGCAGCAGUGGGGAAGAUUGAACAAGGGGCGGAAGCCAGAUGCAGAAACGCCGCGGGCGGGAUGACGGCCUUCGGGUUGUAAACCGCAUUCAGCAGGGGCGAAGCUUGUGGUGACGGUACCUGCAGAAGAAGCACCGGCUAACUACGUG
rnacentral:rRNA from 1 species